AGACUGCCGGUGAUAAACCGGAGGAAGGCGGGGAUGACGUCAAGUCCUCAUGGCCCUUACAUCCCGGGCUACACACGUGCUACAAUGGCAGGUACAGAGGGCUGCGAAGCCGCGAGGUGGAGCGAAUCCCAGAAAACCUGUCUCAGUCCGGAUUGAAGUCUGCAACUCGACUUCAUGAAGGCGGAAUCGCUAGUAACCGCGAAUCAGCAGGUCGCGGUGAAUACGUUCCCGGGCCUU
rnacentral:rRNA from 1 species